AUUGAACGCUGGCGGCAUGCUUUACACAUGCAAGUCGAACGGUAACAGGCCUUCGGGUGCUGACGAGUGGCGAACGGGUGAGUAAUGCAUCGGAACGUACCCAGAGGUGGGGGAUAACGCAGCGAAAGCUGUGCUAAUACCGCAUGUGAUCUGAGGAUGAAAGCGGGGGACCGAGCAGCAAUGUUUGGCCUCGCGCCUUUGGAGCGGCCGAUGUCGGAUUAGCUAGUUGGUGGGGUAAAGGCCUACCAAGGCGACGAUCCGUAGCUGGUCUGAGAGGACGACCAGCCACACUGGGACUGAGACACGGCCCAGACUCCUACGGGAGGUAGCAGUGGGGAAUUUUGGACAAUGGGGGCAAGCCUGAUCCAGCAAUGCCGCGUGCGGGAAGAAGGCCUUCGGGUUGUAAACCGCUUUUGGCAGGAACGAAACGGUGUCCGCUAAUACCGGGCGCUAAUGACGGUACCUGCAGAAUAAGCACCGGCUAACUACGUG
rnacentral:rRNA from 1 species